ensembl:snRNA U2 U2 spliceosomal RNA
ACACUUUCCAGCUGUUGGCUAAGAUCAAGUGCAUCAUCUUUUCUUAUCAUUUUAUUAUCUGAUACACCCUCAUCUUAAAGAUUUUAUAUUAAAUGGAUUUGGAAGGCCUGUGUGGAGGAGUAAUAAUUUCCUCCAUCCACUCCCUGCAUCAGCCCAAAAAUGCAGUGCUCCUAGCUAUUGUGGUCACACU